AGAGUUUGAUCCUGGCUCAGGAUGAACGCUGGCGGCGUGCGUAACACAUGCAAGUUGAACGACGGUGCCAUGAAGUGGUAACACGGAGUGGUAUACGGAGUAGCGGACGGGUGAGUAAAGCAUGAGAAUCUGUCCUGUCGAGGGGGAUAACGUUCGGAAACGGACCCUAAUACCCCAUAGUCCGAGAGGUUAAAGGCAGCGAUGCGCGGCAGGAGGAGCUCGUGUCCUAUCAGCUAGUUGGUGAGGUAACGGCUCACCAAGGCAACGACGGGUAGCCGGCCUGAGAGGGUGACCGGCCACACUGGAACUGAGAAACGGUCCAGACUCCUACGGGAGGCAGCAGUGGGGAAUAUUGGGCAAUGGGAGGAAUCCUGACCCAGCGACGCCGCGUGAACGAAGACGGCCUUCGGGUUGUAAAGUUCUUUUAUGUGGGAAGAAUGAAGUGACGGUACCACAUGAAUAAGCCCCGGCUAACUACGUGCCAGCAGCCGCGGUAAUACGUAGGGGGCGAGCGUUGUCCGGAAUUACUGGGCGUAAAGGGCACGCAGGCUGUGCUUCAAGUCAGCUGUAAAAGGAUGCGGCUUAACCGUGUUAUGCGGCUGAGACUGAGGUGCUGGAGUACCGGAGAGGCAAGUGGAAUUCCCAGUGUAGCGGUGAAAUGCGUAGAUAUUGGGAAGAACAUCGGUGGCGAAGGCGACUUGCUGGACGGUAACUGACGCUGAGGUGCGAAAGCCAGGGUAGCGAACGGGAUUAGAUACCCCGGUAGUCCUGGCCGUAAACGAUGAAUGCUAGGUGUGCGAGCAGAGAUGUUGGUGUGCCGCAGUUAACGCGAUAAGCAUUCCGCCUGGGGAGUACGGUCGCAAGAUUGAAACUCAAAGGAAUUGACGGGGGCCCGCACAAGCGGUGGAGCACGUGGUUUAAUUCGAUGCAAACCGAAGAACCUUACCUGGGUUUGACAUGUAUGUGGUAGGAGAUGGAAACAUUGACGACGCUGCUUUCGGGCAGUGAGCAUACACAGGUGCUGCAUGGCUGUCGUCAGCUCGUGUCGUGAGAUGUUGGGUUAAGU
rnacentral:rRNA from 1 species